rnacentral:lncRNA from 1 species
UAUUUUCUUCUUUUAGUUAUCAUUUUAAUAACUUUGUAAUAGUAUUACAUUUAAUCAUAUACGUCGGUUUAUGAAGAAUUAAUAUUAUGUAUUAAUUUAUAUAAUUUUUAUAAAUGUUUUAAUUUAAAAAGAAAUUUACCCCACAAUUCAAAUUUUCCUAAUACACCUCUGAUGAAAAGCAUCAACUAUUAAGAAUCUAAUCUCAUCU